ensembl:lncRNA
CUCCAUUAGGAAUGUCUGUGAUCCUCAGCAACUUGGGAAUAGUUAACUGAGUUGACCCCAAGCUGGAAAACGGAGUCUAGGAUGGAGAAAAAUUUCUGACAAAGAGUAUCUUUGUCAUGAAGGCCUGUGACAUUGUGUAUGUGUGUUAGAGCAUAAUAUGCGCCUGUGUGUGUGUGUAUGUGCGUGUGUCACUACAGAACUAAAUUAGGCUGUGUGAUGGACUUAGUACCAGACAUGUUAAGUUUUUCCGCAUAAAACCCUGGAUAGCCAAUCAGCUGCUUGCACAAAGGAAGGAGAAUUACAAUAAAAUUUUUCUUUGGCAAAGCAAUUCCAGCGGUCUUCAGCCACCACACUCUCGCCCAUAACCUCUUCACCUCUCCACUCCUCUCUUUACCUCCUGCCAAUCUUUUCAAUCUUCCCCCUGUUUCUUCUUGUCCGUUGUCUCCGAUUUUCUCAGUCCUUCUUCCCGUCUUUGUCAGGCUGCUCUUGUGGGGGACAUGAACGGGAGGACAUGAGCGUGGUGGAAAAACGCAGACAUGGUUCAGAUCCAGACAGAUGGAAUGACUGACACACAGACAGAUCGACAGAAAGAUGGACAGCUGGACAAUUGGACAGGCUGGUCAUUAGACUGCUAUGGCUAUCAUCAGCUGCAAAGAGUGUUAAACAGAUAGCCAUACACUUACCUCUCUCUACCUUUCCCUCUCCCCUCUCUCUCUCUUUUGCACAUAUAUCUCUCCUCCCUUCUCUUGCUCCCUCUCUCUCUGUCUCUCUUACAAAUUAAAGUUGUCUCUCCUCCUCUCCUAGAUUCCCAUCUUGAACUACUGUAUCUCUUCUUGUACAUCCCUGUCUUCAUCUGUUGGAGUUCACUACCAUUUUUGAUGUCGACUCCGCUGUCCUUCCCGGGUUCUACUCUUCAUCUCUUAGUCCCUCUCUCGCAGUGAUUAGGGAGCCUUAAAGAACGCUGAUCCACACUUCUGUAGUGCUCUUCUGUAAUCAAGGCUUUGAGCUGAGGAGUGGAGCGGUUGGCGCCGGGCGACUGUUGUCUUCUCUCUUAACAAGUGUUUUCAUCCAGCCUCUUCUGUUCCUUCACACGUGUUUAUAUCCUUGUAUCAAUUUAUGUAUUUUUUUUGUCUCUAGCUCUCCCUCUAAGAAGUCUUGGUUACACCUCUCAUGGAGAAAAACAGAGUCCUCCACAGACACAUUAAAAUUCUCAAUGACCCAAUAGAACAGCCGUGGCCAUUAGCCGACGUCUGCCGAGGAGGGUGUUUGUGACGUGCUGGGACAAUGUUUGCUGUGCCACACAGACACGAAAGCCGUGGCAUCGGUCAUCUUCACAUGCAGAUCCCUGGAUGUGCAUGUCAUUGCCUCUCCAACCCUACACCCAGCAGAAGAUGUGUCCCCUGAGAUUCACUGCAUGGUUUCCCUGUUCGGACAGUCCCAGAGGGAGUUGCUUCAGAUAUGUGGUUGCCAUGGCACCGAGAGGCCUGGCAGAGAGCUCAUUCCUUGAAAUUUGAACACGUCACUGUUCUGCUUUAACUACUGCAGAACACUUCCACUACUGUUGAAGAUCCGGCAAAAGAGGGAAACGCUCAUUAGAAAAUACU